rnacentral:rRNA from 1 species
AGACAGGUGCUGCAUGGCUGUCGUCAGCUCGUGUUGUGAAAUGUUGGGUUAAGUCCCGCAACGAGCGCAACCCUUAUCCUUUGUUGCCAGCGGUUCGGCCGGGAACUCAAAGGAGACUGCCAGUGAUAAACUGGAGGAAGGUGGGGAUGACGUCAAGUCAUCAUGGCCCUUACGAGUAGGGCUACACACGUGCUACAAUGGCGUAUACAAAGAGAAGCGACCUCGCGAGAGCAAGCGGACCUCAUAAAGUACGUCGUAGUCCGGAUUGGAGUCUGCAACUCGACUCCAUGAAGUCGGAAUCGCUAGUAAUCGUAGAUCAGAAUGCUACGGUGAAUACGUUCCCGGGCCUUGUACACACCGCCCGUCACACCAUGGGAGUGGGUUGCAAAAGAAGUAGGUAGCUUAACCUUCGGGAGGGCGCUUACCACUUUGUGAUUCAUGACUGGGGUGAAGUCGUAACAAGGUAACCGUAGGGGAACCUGCGGUUGGAUCACCUCCUUA